GUGCCAGCAGCCGCGGUAAAACGUAGGAGGCAAGCGUUAUCCGGAUUUACUGGGCGUAAAGCGUGUGCAGGUGGUUUGGUAAGUUGGAUGUGAAAGCUCCUGGCUCAACUGGGAGAGGUCGUUCAAUACUAUCAGACUUGAGAGCAGUAGAGGGAGGUGGAAUUCCCGGUGUAGUGGUGAAAUGCGUAGAUAUCGGGAGGAACACCAGUGGCGCAAGCGGCCUCCUGGACUGUUUCUGACACUCAGACACGAAAGCUAGGGUAGCAAACGGGAUUAGAGACCCCGGUGGUCCUAGCUGUAAACGAUGUGAACUUGCGUCGGCGGGUUCAAAGCCGUCGGUGCCGAAGCUAACGCGAUAAGUUCACCGCCUGGGGACUACGGCCGCAAGGUUAAAACUCAAAGAAAUUGACGGG
rnacentral:rRNA from 1 species